GAUGAAGAACGUAGCAAAAUGCGAUAAGUAAUGCGAAUUGCAGAAUUUCCGUGAGUCAUCGAAUCUUUGAACGCACAUUGCGCCCCCUGGUAUUCCGGGGGGCAUGCCUGUCCGAGCGUCAUUACAACCCUCAAGCUCAGCUUGGUGUUGGGCCCCGCCGCCCCGGCGGGCCCUAAAGUCAGUGGCGGUGCCGUCCGGCUCCGAGCGUAGUAAUUCUUCUCGCUCUGGAGGUCCGGUCGUGUGCUCGCCAGCAACCCCCAAUUUUUUUCAGGUUGACCUCGGAUCAGGUAGGGAUACCCGCUGAACUUAAGCAUAUCAAUAAGCGGAGGA
rnacentral:misc_RNA from 1 species